rnacentral:tRNA from 1 species
GCAGUGCUCAGUGGUAGAGCAUUUGCCUAUCAUGCACAAGGUCCUGAGUUUGAUCCUUGGAACCACA